rnacentral:lncRNA from 1 species
AGGCUUACAAGACUUAGGAGCAAGUGAAGGACUAUCUACUCCCAUAUGAGCCUGUAUCAGAUGCCCUGUUCUAGGUACCACCUUCUGGGUCGUAAGGUAGGUUAUGAUCAGCAGUACAGCCUUUGCAGUGGUGGUGCCCUGGUUCUGGAAUGUUAUCCUCAGUAAUAUUCAGCAGGCAUCAGUGCUGUUACCUUUCAAGCACUUAGUGAAUACAUUCUUAUGUCCUAAGCUUUUAAUGAUUAAUUUCAUUCCUGUCAUUUUCCUUUUUGUUGUUUUUAUCAGUGUUUUUGUGCGUUUUUUGUGCUGCUUUCAUCUCCUUCCUUUGUUGCAAUUUUUGAUUUUUAUAUGUUCCAGACUGCCUCAUUUUCCUAAUCAUCUUCAGCUGAAAGUCCAUCUAAAAAACUCUUAAAUAAAUAAAAUAAUUAUAUGAAGAAAACAUUAUGAAAUAAUACCAGCAAUAUUCAGUUUGCUUUCAUCUGAAAGAAGCCAAAUCUGGGUAGCAGAACCUAGAACAUUUCAUUGAGAAAAAAAGGGAGCAUGCAACAUUUUAUCACUCAAGUACUAUUAUCAGUAGCCCCUUAGUCAUGUUGUUCUGAUUCAAAAUAAGCCAUUAUGGCUUAAUAAGCUUAAAAUUUUGAAAACAAACGUAGAAAGGGUGUAUAAACAGGAUAAAGAUCUCAAGGAAAAAGUGAGGCAAAGCUUGUAAGCAUAACAGGAAGUGGAUGUGACACACUGGAACUUAACACUAAGGCUGUUGCCUAUAAAAAGCUACAUUUAUUUCAUAAUUCUCAUGUCACUCAGCAAGUGUUUCCUCUUUACUCCAGAGUAUUAUGAAACUUUCUAUGGAUUUGGAUGUGGCAUUCAUACAGCUCUUUCCCGAAACCACAUGCAGCACACAAUGUAUUCUUUGAGACAAAAGAUUGCUAAUUCAGACUCAAAUAAAUGCCUGCUAUAAAAUCAGUAAGUUGGUCCAAGAACCCACUGAGACCACAAUCAUAGCACCUUGUUCCUUGUGCACAGUUCUGGUUGCUGUUUUUUUACCAUGGUUUAAGCUUUAAUUAAUUCAGCUCAAUUGUAAGAGCUGAUAAUGAGCAACAACUCUGAGACUUGACACUUUUUGAGAAACUCCAAGAGCAAGAACUGAUUGGAAAGAAGCAUGCAUGCUUACUACUGUCCUGGCUCUCAGUGGCGUAGCGUGGGUUGUCAGCACCCGGGGCAAGGCAAGUAAUUUGCGCCCCCUAACCCGUGGAUUUGCGCCCCCUAACCCGUGGAUUUGCGCCCCCUAACUCUAACCCCCAGAAGUUGCGCCCGGUGUGGCCACCCCCCCCUGCACCCCCCACGCUACGCCACUGCUGGCUCUCAAUGGAUGAAGAACUCAAACUUGGAUUGUGGUUUCUGACAAAAUCUUUAAUGCUCAAAUCAGAGCCGUACAUAGGCAAGGCAAAGGUUAGAGGCCCAGCAUAGCCCAGCUUUAGUGAGGCAAGGGAGAAGCAUAUUUGGACUGGGCAAGCAAACAGGCACUUCUUCCAGUGUGCUGGGCCUGAGCCAUCUGCUCAGAGUGGCAUCUCCAUGUCUUAGGUGACAGGGGAGGGGACAACACAGGCUCAGAGCCAGACUUGUACCUCAGCAUCUCCUAUGCAGGUGGAGACUCGCUGUUAGGGAAAGGUGGUUGGGAGAGUUCCUGUGGAGCCAACUGAUCAUGGCUGAUGCCUAACCCACCUUCUCCCAACAGCCCUCUGAGUCCCUCUCUGGGCUCUGAUUCUGUGCCCCCAUCUUCCUUCCCAUACAACUCUGAAACCUCCUGAGGACCAGGCGAGGUCUGGCUCAACCUACUAAGUCUCUCCCCGGGUUCAUCCAAGUCCAACUCCUCGAGCAUCAUCCUGAUCUGACCAGCCUCUCCAGGACAUUCUCAUGAGGCUCAUGACAACUACCCACUCUAGAUUUUAUCUUAGCAUAAUUUUAGUUAGGUCAGUAACCCUGAAAAAAUUGACCAUGGUAUCUUGUUGUCUUAAAGUUCAGGCAAAAAACUGGAGACUAAAAAUUCAAUAUUUUCUUUUGCAAGUGUUUUCUUACUACAAGGCUUUUCACUGUGUUUAAACUUGCUCAAUGUCAAAACACAGUUUGUUCCACUUGUUCUCUUUGCUAUAGAAACAAAGCAAACUAAUAACUAUUGUCUGUCCUUUAAAUGGAAUUAUUUCACAGCCUUUGGGAUCUUUCACAUGAUUUCUCUGUAUAAUCUAUUACAGUGUGAUAGUUACGCUUUUUAAUUCAUGUAUCAUUUUCCCUUGUUUCCUUGAGUCUUUAAAGUCCACUCCAUGCACAGAUGUUGCAAUGCAUUUUUAAUUGGUAGGGAUAUGUGUCUUCGAAUUCAAGGAGGACCAGCUUUUUAAAUAUUGAAGGCCACCCAUGCUAUGUACACACAGUAAUUACUGGAAGCCAUUGCAGUGAUAUUGCUGAAGGUAGACUAACUUAAACUGGUUUUGCAAGGACUUAUAGUAAUCUAAGCUGUAUCCCACAGGAGCAUUAUCAACACUGCAGCAAUGGAUGCACAAUUGCCAAAACAAAUCCACAACCGAUUGGAUAUUGCCCAUAAAAAGCAACACCUACACACAGUGUUCCAUGCACACUUUUAGGAACGUAUUGCUUCUGGGUGAAAAUGACUUGAGUGGAAUCUGAUAGUAAAUUACAGUCUUGAUUAUCCAUGGAGCAGUGUUAGAUAAAAUGUAGUAGGUAGUUACAGCAAUAAUAUGUUAUUAUUUAUAUCCUGGUCUUCUGCAGUUGCACUUGGAAGGGCUUAUAAGAAAAUCUACAUAGGCAUACAUAAAAUCCAAUUAAAAACAGUAAUUUAAAAGCAGUUAGUCAAAUACAUUAUGGCUGCAACAUGCUUACCUGGGAGUACAGUGGUACCUUGGAAGUUAAACGGUAUCCGUUCCGGAAGUCCAUUCAAUUUCCAAAACAUUUGGAAACCAAGGCAUGGCUUCCGAUUGGCUGCAGGAAGCUUCUGCAGCCAAUCAGAAGCCAUGUCGGACGUUCGGGUUCCAAAGAAUAUUCGCAAACUGGAACACUCACUGGUUCAGGAGCCAAAACAUUUAACUUGCAAGGCAUUUGGGAGCCAAGGUACGACUGUAAAUUGUUUAACAUAGCUGCAACUGAGGCAACAGCCAAUUUCAUAUGUCAAGUAUUAAAAGUCUAUCAAAACAUUUUCAACUUCCGUGAAAAAGUGCUUAGAGAGUGCAACUGAUGCAACUUAGCUGGAAGGACAUGGUGCCACCACUGAAAAGGCCUCUUGCUCAUGCACUGAGAGAAAGGCUUCAUACGUAGGUCCAUUUUGAAGCCCAUCCAGCUCUGCAUUGGGACCAAGUGUUCCUUAAGAUAGUCCCAAGCCACUAAGGGCUGCCACGUUAAACCUAAUACUUAGCACAGUUGUUGUUUAAGGCACAUGCAAUGGACCUGUAAUAAACCAUACUACAUGUAAAUAUAGUAAGUGUACAUAUCUGCCUUGCUCCAGCAAUCCUUUUUCCAGCCUGCAAGGCAUCUUCCAUUCAGUAGAUGAAACAAAUUUGUGCAGGGAGAAUUAUACCCAGUUACUCUCAGCCAAAAAAGGCUUGAAGAGUUAAAUACUGUCUCAUCUUCUCUCAUAUCCACCUGGCCAGUCUUUAGUCACGGAGGUGAAACCUAAUCAGGACAGAGAUCACGUAGCUUGUGGAAACUCAGCUUUAAAUUACUAGGCAAUGUUACUUGGUUUCUUUUUAGAGCUGAGCCAAAGGGAAGGUGAGAUUCAUCAGGUGUGAAAAGCCACUCUCCUUCUGGUGAAUGUCUGGGCUGGGGAGAGAAGUCUUGUAUAAGGGGAUAAAUUAUUCUCCUAGAGCAAGAGUGGGCAACCUUUUAGCCUGCAAAAACUAUAUCCAAUGGUGAGAGCUGCUCGGGGACUGUAUGUCAGUGGCGUACAUCUGCUCACAAACAUUCACCUAAGUACACAGCUUGAUGGGGAGGAGAAGGGCAGACCAAUCUCAACCCCAGAGGGAGGGCAGAAGCCAGGCCAGUCCUUGCUGUCAAACGUGAGGAAGGGCAGACCUCUCUAUUUGGAAUGCAGGCAUUGUGCUUACGAUAGCUGAGAGCUUCCAAGAGGAAGCAUUGCAGUCCUUAUCCAUGCCCCUCUUGAAUAGGACACCUCAGGAACAGCCCAUCCCAUUUUACUGUCUGGGGUGAAGUCUGGAGUCUACCAGAGCCUCACUUACUGGGGUUGCACAGCAGUAGUGGCUUCCAGUGAGAUCUCACAAGCUCUCAUGCAAGCUCUGCAAGAUCUCAUGAGAGUUCUCGUUCUCCUGUGGGAUUUCUCCACCCGAGGCAGCUGCUUCAGUCUGCCUCAUAGGCAGCCCAGUCCUGAGAAACCCAUUUACGGCAGGAUACAGAGCCAAGGGUGGCAGAGGCAGCAGGGAGCAAAGAGCAGCAGCAGAAUCCUCCGACAGCUAACAAUCCUGCUCUGUUUAUUUCUUUAAUAUUUGUGUGUUUCAUAUGGAAAAGGAAAUGCAUUUUCAGACCAUUUUUAUAAAUAAAGCAAAAAAUGAAAAGGCAGAAAUAUAACAGCAGUAGCAUGGUAAGAAAAAUACAGAGUCAUUCUAGAUCUUUUUUUUUUUUUUUAAAUUACCUUUGAUUUCGGCAAAGAAGUAAACAUUCUAAAGCAGUGUCUCAGAUCACUGAUUUGUCUGCCUGACAAAUGGGUUGGCAGACCUGGCCUGUUCUAUAUGGGUUUGUAGAGAUGCAGAGUCUACAGUCCUUCAAAUGUUACUAGACUCCCAUACCUUGAUUAUUAAUGUAUAUUGCAUUCCCUUUCAUGUGGAGAUUUGCCUGGCUCCUUCCCUGCUGACAGAAAUUGAAAACGUUUUCCUUGAAAAAGGCUUUUAAGAUCCAGGUCUGCUGCUGUUUUUAAUUAUUUCAAUUGCUGCUUUUUAUGGCUGCGCUAUUGCAUCCAUAAUGCAAGGGUAGGGAACCUGUGGCUCUCUAGAUGUUGCUGGACUCCAGCUUCCAGCAUUCUUGGCCAUUAGCCUUGAUGGAUGGGGUUCAUGGACAUUUGUUGUUGUUGUUUAGUCAUUUAGUAAUGUCCAACUCUUCAUGACCCCAUGGACCAGAGCACACCAGGCACUUCUGUCUUCCACUGCCUCCCGCAGUUUGGUCAAACGCAUGUUCGUAGCUUCGAGAACACUGUCCAACCAUCUCGUCCUCUGUCGUCCCCUUCUCUUGUGCCCUUCAUCUUUCCCAACAUCAGGGUCUUUUACAGGGAGUCUUCUCUUCUCAUGAGGUGGCCAGAGUAUCAUGGACAUUAAAGGUAAAGGGACCCCUGACCAUCAGGUCCAGUUGUGACCGACUCUGGGGUUGCGGCACUCAACUUGCUUUAUUGGCCAAGGGAGCUGUCAUACAGCUUCCGGGUCAUGUGGCUAGCAUGACUAAGCCGCUUCUGACGAACCAGAGCAGUGCACGGAAACGCCGUUUACCUUCCCGCCGGAGUGGUACCUAUUUAUCUACUUGCACUUUGACGUGCUUUCAAACUGCUAGGUUGGCAGGAGCAGGGACCGAGCAAUGGGAGCUCACCCCGUCGUGGGGAUUCGAACCGCCGACCUUCUGAUCGGCAAGUCCUAGGCUGAGUGGUUUAACCCACAGGACCACCCGCGUCCCAUCAUGGACAUUAGCAUCCAACAAAAUCAGGAGGGCCCAAGUGAACCACCCCAGUCUUAAAGGAACAGAUUCAUAGUUUUAGGACACUCCUAGAACUAGGGGAGGUACAAGCAGCUUCUGUCAUAGAAUGCCUACCCCCAGCUAAAGCUGGUGUGCCACCUGCAAUCGCUCUAGACAGAGACAGUCUAGCAAUUCUUUUCCAUAAACUUGCAGCCUUCAGAUUAGAGUGCUCUAAUGCUUUGAAGACAGUUCAGAGACUGCAAGAAUAGCAAGGUCAUGAUCAGAUGCUUCUCCUUCAGGUGUUUCUGCCAUCUGAGGAGAGAUGAGUAGUGCCCACUCUGGUUUUAUUAUAUUUAUUUAUUAAAACAUUUAUAUCCCACCCUUUAUCCAGUUUGGAUCUCAAGGCAGUGUGCAACAUAAAUUAAUGCAUUUUUAGAAUUAGGCAUUCAACAGUUUUUAAAGGGCACAACAACAACACAGGCCUUUUAUCUAUGUUGCUUCUAUCUGCCUUUAAAAAGUCAGUCUUCUAUUCUGACCAUAUAUUUUGAUGGGGUGUUGUUGUUCUUGGGUUGUUUGUUUGGAAUAGGCCCUGAAAAUAUUUGCCUAUUUGUGUUAAAUGCACAUAAAUCACUCUUGCCUGUUUUAUUGUAUUUUAAACAUGUUGUAAACCAACUUGGGAAUUCCAGUUAGGAGGAGUGCAAAUAAUCCAAAUGCAUAAAAUGAUGCAAACCCCUUCACUCUUUCUCUUCUUUUUGGGAAUACUUAGAGGAGAGCAAAUGUUCUCUGUGUCACCACCAGUCUAGAAAGCAGUGACCUUAUUCUGAUUGGUUAUGCUUGCCUACAGUGACACCAACAGACUCACUACAUAGAAUCAUAGAUCUAGUUCAACCCCCUGCAAUGCAGGAAUAUUCACCUGUCUCAUACGGGGAUUGGACCUGCAACCUUGGAACUAUCGGCAAGGUUGUACUAGCAUGAGGAGAGAGAGAACAUUGUGCAUUUGUGUGUGCAGAAUUGUACCAAAGCAACAACCUGUAGAAUACUAACCGUGGACAGCUGGGUACAGUAUUUUUUAAAAGGGUAGAAACAAGGGCUGAUCUAAAAAGUCAGUACAGCCAAGAUCAGGGAUAAAGAACCUCUGGCCUUUUCAGAUGUUGAUGGAUAUCUUCCAUCAUCCCUGACCAUAGGCUGUGCUGGUGGGGCCUUGCAUAUUAUCAGUUCUCAACCAAGUCCAUCAAAAACAGAAGCCUCGUGGGACAUCUUUGUCUUCAUACUUCCUUGUCUUUCUUGAUAGUGUAAAAAAAUAACAGUACUAAUAAAUAACAGUACUAAUGGGUGGUAAUGAAUGUUGCCGAUAACAGAUCGUGGUAAUGAGGGAUUAUGAAACAAGUUUGCAGGAAGAUGUGGCUCAAGCCCCUUCUGCAUUCUCCUACAACUUGAGGAACUCUGCAGGUUAUCGUCUUGUGCACUAGUUCAUUAUGUUGUACCAUUUGUUUUUAACCUUGGCUUGUCCCUAAGACAUCUGCUCUGCUGUGAUUAAUAAUGCUGAUAGAAAUAAAUUGUUGAAGGGCAGUGCUGCAUUGCAUGACUAAUUACCCUCCUAAAUUAUGUGUUCAUAAAUGGGCUUUUUUAAUAUUAAAAAACACAUGCACCGUGAUCCACACAUACAGAGAGAGAUAAAUGAAACCUUGCUAAACUGCCCAAAUUCAGAGCAGCAGCAGCACCCUUGCCGAGGUGACUUUACAAAUGAGAGUCCUUCACUUUCCCCCACAUACACUUUUUUUAACCAUACACUGCCUUAACUGCCCUUCAUUCAGCCUGAGUAUUAUUCCCUAUCUUCCAAGGUGAAAAAGAGUACCUUCAUAAUCAGAAUGAGAAAGAAUAGGUGGAACGCAAUUUUGUAUUGUUUCACGUUCCUGCCAGGAAGUAUUUUGUUGAGCAAAACAAGGCUACCAGUUUUAAUGGAUAGAAAUUGGGGGACCCAAAGGAGUGUGUGUAAAUAAAUAAUUGCUAAAUUCUUCCAUAAAGCAUAAGACCUCUGAGUUCCAGGGUUAGAGGAUUACAUUCCUAUGCUCCUAGCCUUGAAUCUCAGCAUGUCAGCGCUACCUUCCAUUUGUCCUGUAGCAGAAGCCUUCAAUGUUUCCAGACCCAGGACACACUUUUAGACAUGCAUUUGGUGCCCCCACAGGAGGCAGUGAUGAUCACCACAGCAAAUGACUUUAGAAGAGGAUUAGGCAAAUCCAUGGAGGACAGGACUACUGAUGGCUACUGGCCACGAGGGCUAUGCUCUGCCUCCACAGCUGGAAGCAACAAUGCUUCUGAAAACUAGUUGCUGUAAACCACAGGAGGGGAAAGUGCUCUUGCGUUCAAAUCCUGCUUGCAUUUGGUUGGCCACUGUGAUAACAGGCUGCUGGAUUAGAUGGGCCACUGGCCUGAGCCAGGCUCUUCUUUUGUUGAAGUUGUGCCACAGAAGUUACCAACGAGUGGUGCUGUGGUCUAAACUACUGAGCCUCUUGGGCUUGCUGAUCAGAAGGUUGGUGGUUCGAAUCCUUGUGACAGGGUGAGCUUCCGUUGCUCUGUCCUAGCACCUGCCAACCUAGCAGUUCGAAAGCACACCAGUGCAAGUAGAUAAAUAGGUACCGCUGUGGCGGGAAGGUAAAUGAAUGUUCUGUGCGCUCUGGUUUCCGUCACAGUGUUCCAUUGCACCAGAAGCGGUUUAGUCAUGUUGGCCACAUGACCUGGAAAGCUGUAUGUGGACAAACGCUGGCUCCCUCUGCCUGAAAGCGAGAUGAUUCUGCAACCCCAUAGUCACCUUUGACUGGACUUAAUCAUCCAGGGGUCCUUUACCUUUUACCUUACCAACAAAACACUCCCAGUAAAAUUUGUCAUCUGACUAGUGGGCCACUAAAAAUUGUUUUGCAGGCCUCAUCUAGCUCAUGGGGCAUGGUUUAGCCCUCUCCUUUUUAGAGGUAUAAACUUUGCAAAAUGUGAAAACCUGGAAUUUAAAACUUAGAAUGAACAGUGUAAUCGCCAGAUAUAUUGGUAGUUCUUUGUUCCUUUUAAAGAGUUUUAGAUAUAGCAUCACAAGUCAACAACAGAUUGGGUAGUGCACUUAUUCAAAGACAGAGGGCAACUUGGCCAUUAUAAAAUGUGUUUCAUUUUCCGAGAAAUAAUUCAAAGAUUCAGUGCCACUUCAAAGUACCACUCUGGCAAUGAACUGCCAAAUUGGAAACAACUUAUUGCAUGGAAUCUUGAGGUUACCAAGGCAUAAAGAGAAAUACUCGAGGAUCUGUGUCAGACAGAAGAUAAACAUUUCUGAAACACAACUCAACUAUAGUGGGCUAAGAAAAGGCAAGGAAUUUAGAAGGCGAUUCAGAAUACCAAAGGAAAACCAGUGUAUGUUGGCAGUGCUGCUGUCAUGACCGACAUUAGAAAAGGCUGCAACCCAGUUGUGGAUCCUGGACUGUCCGCUGAAGUCCAGUGCCCCAUCGCACUAAGUGGAAACAGAUCACACACAAAAAAGAGGACGGAGGAGGUUUGCAUAAAAUUGGCAUAUGCUAAUUCAUAGGCUAUAGAUGAAAAUUGUGAAAUCAUUGUCCUAAUUUACAAAGAAAUGCAACAUAUCUCACCAUAGUGGGGGGAACUUAGACCAGGUGACCCAUAUGCUUGCUGAGUCUUCUGCACAGAGGCUAACUAUCAGUGAAUCAACUUCAAGAUCACUGAUCUCCUUUGUCUUUAAACUGUACUUGGACUGGUAGCCUUUUCAGCAGAGGACUGCCCGCCAUAAAGUAGGCCACCUGACUGCUGAGGCUUGGGGUUAGGUGAGUGUUAAGCCCAAGAUCUGAAUGUAUGGGAUAUAUAUUUUGAGUGGGUUUGGGAAUAGAGUCAGAGACCCCUCAUAAACAGAAGGCUGAAUAUGAACAAAGAAGAAACAACACUCCAAACUAAGCAGUAACGCUCAGUGGGUGUCAGUCUAUUUGGGUGAAUGGGGCCCUGCCAGUCUGCCAGCAGCCUGCCCCACCUGCCUGCCUUCUGACUUAUGACAGCCUGUCAGCUUCCUCCUUCUUAGCCUCAGACGAUGUAGUCGGUGGCAGCUUGAAAUGCAGAGGCCGUUUCCCCUGCUGUUCUGUUUUUCUAUACAACAUUGUUUUUGUAUCAGCAAUUCUUGUUAUUAUUUUCAUUGUUGAUUUUAUAUAUAUAUAUAUAGUUAAGUUUCUUCAAGAUAUCUUACUGGAAGCAGUUCAUAAAUGGAAAUAAAUAAAUAGAAUCCCAUUUGGCCCCACCCAACUUUUGCCUCAGAAUCCACCCACCCCCUGGAAUAUGGCCGCUGGAAUCCAGUUGCCCAUAAAAGAAUGCAAGCCUUUGGGUGGAAAAAUGUUUCCCUCAGCCCGAUUCUACUCUGUCAACUGUUUUUAUUUUCUUGGGAACAGACUGCCCUGCGGUCAGCAUUUCAAAAACAGGACAGGCUAUUUGUGCAACAAUCUGUUUUCUACAGAUCACAGUAAGCAUCACCGCCAUGUGGCCUGGCAGAUUGUGCGCUCCAUGGGGCAUGUUGGGUUCUUCACAUUCAUGCAUGUGCAUUUCCUUGUUUGUGCAUUAGAGAUGAAACGCAAUUGCCUCGCGCAGGCUGUGUACACCCUGUAGCUUCAAAGCAUAUUCGAAACAUAUUCUUUUCCUCAAAGAAUUCUGGGCACUGAACGUUACCCUUCACAAAGUUACAGUUCCUAGCGACCCUUAAGAAACCACAGCCCCAGAAUUCUUUGGGGUGGGGGAAUGUGCUUUAAAGUGUGUACACAGCCUCAAAAACUUAAUUUCCAGAGAUGCUGGAGAGGGAAUGGAACUUUGAGGAAUGGCCAUUCUAGCCAAUGAUCGCUAAUAGCAUUGGGACAAGCAUCCUCAAAGUGGAAAAAUUGAGUUGCUGACGGGAGAUGGCCCCUGAAAAGUGGGAGGGCCAAGUAGUGGAAAUGUUCAGUUUGGCAUCCUUGCUGAUUCCAAGAAGCAGAAUAUGUGAACUGCAGACCUGCAUUGUUUAAAAGGAGGUGAGUGUCCAAGUGGACAAUCCACCCUGCUUUGUCUUCUAGCCCCAAAUAUUCUUGCUUAAGCGAAUUGAAAGAGAAGAACAGGAGCUUGUAACCGCAAGCACUGGCGGAGGAAGAGGAGGGCAGGGAGAGCGCACCGCCCCCAGCAACGCGAUCCUGGUGAGGUGCCAUUGUGGCUGCCCCCCCCCCCCGUGCUGAGUGCCACGCUCCUGUGGGCAGCACACCACGCCCCCGGGACGCGCGCCAGCCCUGCCCCCACCUGCUCUCCACCCCCUGGUGCCGGAGCAUGAAGCUCCACCACUGACCCCAAGCCAGGCUGUCAAAAAACAACUUGGAUUUCUCUUCCCAGCGAACUGCUGUACAUAUUCAAUCAACAGCCUUCAACCUUUUCAGUCUUUGGGCCCACGUUUAAUCCCAACCUGCCACACGAUACCCAUUUCUAACUGUGUAAAAAAUCUUCCCCUGUCUGCAUCUCCUGUUUGCUGCCCUCUCUCUUUAGCCAUAUGCAGUUGUUUUUAAUUCUUAUGCAUGUGAGGGGCGUGGCAGCACUUAUGCCCCUCUAUCCCCCAGUCUUCCCACAUUGAACAGGAAGGUCUGGAUGCUGCCUUUCUCCAGGAAGGAGCUGCAAAAGUGUUUUCAGCCAUAAACUGAUUGGCCAGGACAAUGCUGGCAUCUGCUGUUCCUACUGUAGUUGCUGCUGGUUUUCUCCUACCUGGAGAGUCCACCUCUCUUAGCCCUUCUGGUCCUUGUGGCUGUGCUGAUGGGAGUGCAAUGGGCCAGCCCCACCUUGGUAGGCUGGUGUGCCUCUGUGGGAUAAGGGGUUGGUUGGAUUGUAGAUGGAAAGAAGACGAGGAAGAAAAAGGGAAUCCCUAUAGGCAUUUGUUAUUAGUAGCGCUGUAUUUCAUUGCGGGCUGGGGAAAUUUUAGCUGAGCACUGUAGCUGUUGACAAUUGCUGCUUUGCUACUUUUUGUGCUCUCGUAGUAGGAGACUCCUGAAAACCCAUCUAGCUUUUAUUGAUCUGCUGCUUUUCAUCUCCGGGUAACUUGUUUCUUGAAGUCUGUAAUGCUGACACAGAUAGAUGAUUCUACUAUAAUUAGAACUACUGAAUGAGAUACUCCUUCUCCACCCACAUCCCCACUUUGGCACUAAGUCCAAGAGAGAGGAAACUCCUGCUAGCCCCUCCACCUCAUUUAAACUAGAUGGGGUGAUUGUAAGAAAUCCAGCCUUUCUUUAAAUCGCUGAGAUUUGAUUACUCCGAGGACGAGAACCAAAAUUCAGAUCUUUCAACAUACAUUGGAAAGCUCUGCUGUUAGGCUUUUAUCUGUGGGAGAUCGGAGCUUUGGGGCCAAGUGGAUUAAGAAAAAUGGCAGGCUGAAAGGAAAAGAGGGAGAAUGACAAUGACAUCCCUCCGUAUCCUAAUCCCAAACUGAGAAAUUGCUUUCCUGGAAUUCAAACAUUCCAUUAAAAUUUAAUAUUAAGAUAGACACCUGGUUGGGGGGCGCUUUUUGCACCAUUGGAGCGCUCAGUAUUUUUUCUAAAAAAAGACACAUUUUAAAAUUAUUUAUUAUUUAUUUGCUUUUGGUUUUUUCAAUGGCCACAUUUUAUGGGGGAGGUAUUAGGGGGUCACAAGACAUCAUAGUAUCACAGUGGGGGACUUAAGGGAACAGUCAGUCUGUAUAUUUGAAUGACACCGUUGUGCUCAAAUUCAUUAGUAACUCAGAAACCGUGGAACUAUGCCUCAGUUGUCAAUGGGAGUGGUUAUUUAAUAUUUCAUUUAUAAGCCCAGCUUUCGUCCCAGAAACUCAGGGAAGUGUGCAUAGUUCCCCGCUCCUCAUUUGAUCCUCACAACAUCCCUGAGUGAGGGUUUGAACCUAGGAUUCCUGAAUCCUAGCCUGAUAUUCUGAUCACUGCAGCCCUUCUGUCGCUCUUUCAGAUCUGCGUACUAGACGCAAGUCUUCUGGACUCAUCUCCUCCUUCUUAGGAGAAAAGUGACCAAUGGUGAACAGUGGUUCUUCCAGUUCAUUGUCAGACGCAUCAGAUGGUCUGACUGAGGCCUUUGCGCUCUUGUAGUCUGCUGUGUCAUCACUGUCACUGACACCAGCAGCAGCGCCGCCCACUGAACUGGAAUCCGAACUCUGCUCAUCAUCAUCCUCAGCUUCCUCAGCUUCCCCAACAUCAUCUGCUUUUUUCACAUCACCUUCAUCCUCCUCUGGGUAACCCUGGAAAAUUCCCACAUUUUCCCCCCACUUAGGAUUGUACUCAACACUUUGUGAACUUAAUGGAUUUAGAGUCAGUCAUCCACACCCUGUAUGCACCUUUUUCGUACCCUAUGAACAAACCAUGUGCCCCACGCUUCCCAAGCUUGUUGCUCUGUUGGGUGUGUACCCACAUGUCAGAACCAAAGAUUCUCAUGUGCUUGAUGCAAGGUUUCUUACCAAACAUCUUCUCAUAGGGAGUACAACCAAUAGGUGAUGACAAUCUGCGAUUAUAAGUGUAAACAAACGAGUUCAGAGACUCCCCCCAAAACUUCUCAGGGAGAUUGGCAUCAUGCAACAAGGUUUUCAGUCCUUGCAGCAACGUUUGAUUUGCUCGCUCCGCAAGUCCAUUCAUCCAUGGCGAUCUAGGCAUUGACAAGUCAUGCUGGAUUCCCUCUCAGUCAGGAAAGCUUCAAACUGCUGAGAAGUGAACUCCCCGCCUCGAUCAGUAAACAGACAGCCAAUACGUUUACCGUGAACAUUCUCCAACCAAGCACAGAAUGCCUUGAACUGGAAACGCUAUGCAUUUCUGCUCGAGCAUAAACACAUGAAUGUACCUGGAAAAAGAGUCAAUUAGAACCAUGAAGUACCUUGCUCCACCUAAAGAGGGCGCAAGUGGACCAAGCAGGUCUGCGUGCACUAGCUGGUAGGGUUUGGAAGCCUGCCUGCUAGACUCCUUGCCUUUUGGAGCAACCUUCACCUUGUUCUCUGCACAAGAUACACAUUUCAUGUGAAACUUACAGGGUUUGAUGUUCAAACCCUCAACCAUCUCUGGCAUCUUGGCCAGUGCCUUCCAAGAGAGGUGACAAAACCUUCUGUGUGCAUCGUGAAUGCAUCCUGCAUGAAGAACUUUGUUAGUUUGUGCAACACAACAAGAAUCAGCAUUAGACACAACAGCACCAUUGUCAUUAUAAGUUAUACAGAACAAGCCAUCCAUAAACUUUGCAUGCAAAAUGUCCUCUUUGCCUUUUCUGAUGACACAGACGCACCUCUUGAAAGAAAUCUCAAAACCACGCCCAGUCAGCUGUGGGACACUGAGCAAAUUGUCUGCAGCGCCUGGAACAUACAGUACAUCUUUGAUGGUCGUGUGCAGACUUGCCAGUCUCACAGUCCCUUCUCCUGCGAUUCGCAACGUCUUUCCGUCAGCCAGGUGGAUCUCACCUUCUUGAGGUGUGAAGGAGAUAAAGAGAUGGCGGUCCUUUGAGACAUGGCGGGUACACCCCGAAUCAAUAACAAACCUGGCCUUGGCCUUUGGAGCAGUCUUUCUGGCAAGCAUAACCUUGUUUUCCACCGGCGUGGGCUUUUGCUGCUUGCCCCCCUGCUCCUGGCCAUCAGACUUGCCUUUAGCCUUUGGUGAAGCUGUGCCAGCAAACAACGCCUUGUUUUUCUCUGGCGUGGGCUCUUCACCCCCCUUCUGCUUUGGGCCAUCUGCAGGCAUCUGCCUCUGUUUACUUCUGGCCUUCCGGUAUCUGUGAGGAUGACCUUGGCUCCCAUGAGAAACAGAGCUCUCAGCUGCCGACUCCUUGGCUCCCCCUGGAGGCUGGAAUGCUGCCUGGGAUGAUGUGACAGUCAGCUCCCCCUGCAGCUUGCAACCGAUGCCCUCGGCAUCCCUGCAUUCACUCGCAUUCUGGGAAACAGCCAGGACCUCCGACGCAGUCAAACUCUGGGCUGGGAUGACUGGCAAAUGGGCUAUCUUCAAAGCAUUCCACAUCUUACGUGCAGUCACGUUGCCAGCUAACGUUUUAAUUUCCUCCAGAGAGACGGACAAGACUAUUACGUCUAUGGCCCUCGAAUUCUGGGCUCUCCAUCUAUCUGUCAGAGGAACUGGAGGGGCUUCAGACACAGUACGCCACACUCCAAACUGACGCAGCAAACUCUCACACCACACAGCCCAGGUCUGAUAAUUGUGCCGAUUUAACUUUGGGCACUCAGCAGCCUCAGAAGCUUUGAAAAACUCCAUUCCAGCUUUUUACUUGAGCCGUGAGCCUUUAUGCCUUCAAAAACUUCUUAUCUCAGCAGCCCAUAAAUCACGAAGCUUGCUUGGCGCAGCCCCCAGACCAAUUAGGCCAGCCGGACAUCUGAAGCCCUUGCCGCGGCAAACAGAAAAGCCUCACUUUCACUUUUCCCACAUACCUCAACGCAGUCUGUCGCAGUCUUACUCUCCUGUAAGUGCCGUGAAUCUGGGCCCGAAACCUGUUGUUGGGAUACUGCCAGGGAGAUAAAGUCCAUCAUGGCCCCCAAGCCGGCUGCCGGACAAUCCAUCGACCUCCCGUAGUCACGCAGUAUCAGCAAUUAGCGACAUAAGCUCCAGAACAUUCUAGAGCCGAUGCACACUCUUUAUUGGCAGAUAAUGCACAGCAGAAGUCGCACUCAGGAGAGCAUUAUUUACAAGUUUUAUUCAGCGUUGAUCAGAACAAAGAAAACCAUGACUGCCUGCAUCGAUGUCUCCAGACACACAGAGAGAAAUGAAAGCAACAGAAAAACAUAAACAUCCUGUGAACAGGAAAUACGCAGACUCUGUGACUCACAGCCUGUUCCCUUUUAAGGUGGAACGGAAAUAUCCUAACACUGCACCAUGCAGAAAACACACUACUGAAAAUAAUUGUCUUUAUUUAAGUGCUCAUUUACAUCUUGCUAUGCCUUUUGCAUAUUCGGGAUUGAAGCGGGGAAGACUAUUUUCUGGGUUAUUUCCUAGAUUCUCACAUGUUCUCCUACAAUAGCAUAGCAAAAAUUACUAGACACUAUCCAGAGGUCAUUUCUUACCACCCUGAUAAUGAGAAGUGUCUGCAGUAAUCAAAACAUUCAUAAACAUCCUGGUCGUAUUGCAACUGAAUUAAUAUUGGCUUCCCUUAUGUGUUCCUGGCUUACACUGAAAGGUCCCUAUGUCUCCGACGGGCAAAAUGUUACUAAGGAGGUGAAAAAAUGAGUUGCAAAUGCUAAUGAGCAAAUAAAAGUUCUGUCAACUCUUUCAGGAAGGAAACAAAAUUAAACCUUUCCCUAAACACGAUCGCAGUUGAUAAAAUGCUGGAUGUUUAGGUGCCAAUUAUAGCUCUUUCAGAAACUCUCAACUCUUGUCAUAACACAUGCCAUAAACAAGGACAGAUUUAGAGGUUCUUCAUGACAGUUAUGUGUAGGAUGUUGACAGUUGACUGUUAAAUUUCAAGUGCAGGGGAAAAUUUCCCUCCCUAUAGAUCUUCGCUUGUUUAUUAUGAGGGUGUUUUCUUUGCGAGUUCAAUCAUACAUUCGCUGCCUCACGUUCUCAGCGCUUGACAUUUCCAUUUAACUCCCCCCCCCCCCAUGACAAUCACUGAAGUGUAGAUGGAGGUAAAUGCAACCUCCAGUACACUCAAGAGGUGUGAGAAUUUCAAAACUUCAGGGCGUUUUCUUCACUUUUCCUUUUGAAUAUUUAGAUUUGUUAUUCUCCUUCCCUUUUUAUAUUAAAAAAUACCCAAUUAUAUAUGGGUGGUUACAUCAGAAGAAAGCAAAUAUAUGUGUUUGACAUCAUAAUGAAAGAAGGGAAGAAGCUUUGUGAGGAAUCUGAAGCUGGGAUAAAGACUAGUUCUUUGAGGGUGCUUUAAGACCUCCAACUAUACUUACCAUCAUCAUUUUAAUAAUUAUUAUUAACAACUAAUGAACCAUUAGUAACUUCAACAGAUAAUGCCUUUAGAGAUGAACAGGGAGUAUUUUUCCCUCCUGCACAAAAUGUUCACAAUGUGUGUGUGUGUGUGUGUGUGUGUGUGUGUGUGUAAGGCUUAUUACGGAGGCAUAAGGACCAACAAAUUACUCCUUCUUGGUUCAUCCCUGAAAGUCUUGCUUCAUUCCCUGGAUCUUCCUGUAUACCACAUUGCCUUUUCUGUGGAGAUUUGUCUGGCACUCUCCUGACAGAAAUAGAAAGCAUUUUUAUUUUUAAAAGGCAUUUAAUGUCCAGCUCUCCUACUGUUUUUAAUUAUUUUACUAUCUGCUUUUUUAAGGUCGGCUGGGUUUUUUUAGGUUUUUUUACAGUAUUGUAUAUUUAUUUCCUGAAUGCAGGAAUGGUAAUGCAACACUUCUCCAGAUGUUGUUGGACUACAAUUGCCUACCAACCAGCCUGGGGCUGAUGGGAGUUGAAGUUCAAUACAGUUGAGAGCAGGGAUGAGGAACAUGUCACCCUCCAGAUGUUGUUGGACUCCAAUUCCUAUUAGCCCUAACCAGCAUGGCCAGUGGUCAGAGAUGAUGGGAGUUGUAGUCUUAAUGACAUCUAGAAAUCCUCAGGUUCACCAUCCCUGAUUGAGAGGUCCUCAGGUUCCACAUCCCUACCUAAUCAUAUAAUUGCAUUUAAAUCCUUUUUUGUAAGAUGCUAAGGGUACUUAUCGAUAGAAGAGCAGUGUUCAUAAGUGUGGGUAUGCAACAACAAUAAUUAGAAAUACCUCCAUUAAUGCCUUCAGAUCUGUCUUCAUAAUAGAUAGUACGAUCCAAAUACACAUACACUUGGUGCUCCUGAGAAGAACAAACGUGUGUGUGUGUGUGUGUGUGUGUGUGUGUAAAUCAACAAGAGAAGUGGGGGACACACACCAAAUAAAGGUGAAUAAUUUCUCAUAGGCUUUCUAACCAGCAGGGAACAGGUGGACAAAGCAAUCUUCAAGGAGGUAUCAAGGACAUCUAAAGCUCAUAAACACAGGACCCUGGGAUAUAACUACACAGAUGUUUGUUGAGCUAAGAACAUAGCUAAAUAUAGAAUAUACAUAAAGUUACUGACCUGUAUAGAGGACAUUUAGCACACAAAAACUAGGGAAGUGACUGGUAUGUGUUUUAGUAAUCUUUACUCAAAAUGUUUUGAGACUGGGCAGGAUAAGAGAUGAUAUACAUUAGGGAUGUGUUUUGGCCCCAAGGGGGUGAAUUAGGGUGAUUUGGGGUAUUAUUUCAUGUUACUUAGAUUGCACUGUUAACAAGGCAUGUCAAGGAGAGUCACAGAGUGCCCAAACUUCUUAAUAGCUCUGUUGACUCAGUUUUUCGCAUAAGUGAAGCACAAGAUCACUGCCUUUUUGCUUUUUAUUUUCUGAGAAAUGAAACCAAGCUGAGUGUGGAAAGUCUGCCCUUAUGGGAGAACCACCGAGCCUGUGUUUCUAAAAUGUGAGUCUUCCCAAUCAGGCUCAAAAUACUUGGCAUUUGGGAAAGUAAAACACAUGAAUUGGAACUGCAUGGCACAGUGCACACAUUUUUUUGUUACUUUCUAAUUGAGUGGCCCAGAACACAUUAUAUAACAAGCAAAAGGGAUGCACUUCCCCUGAGCAUAAAAGAUCAUGAAAUAUUCAGUAAUAUUUAUGAAGUUCUGGUUCAAUUCUGUCAAGUCCCUGAAUUUUGAAUGGAGCAGUUAGCAUUUUUGGUUAUGUUUUAACCAGUUCACAAUGGCACAGAGCAGCUUCCUUUCUUAUAUUAACAACCCUGUACUUAGGGAUAUUAACUCACCAAGAAACUUGCCUGGCUCUUUCAGCAAUGGAAUCCUUGCGGGAUCCAGGAAUUAGAAGGGACUCAGGCAUACAGCCCAACCCUCCAUCCCCAACAAACAAUGCUAUGCAUGCAAACUCUUUGCUCUAACCAUGCCAGCCACCCCUCUCUCUCCCCCUCCCACAAAUCCUCCUGCAAGCAGCCUGCAUGGAGAAAUGACCAUAUGCUUUACUUUACUUUCUUUGUAGGGCUGUCAGGUGUCUGGUCCAAGUCCAGUUGAAAGAUAAAGAACCCUAAGCAAGCAGAAGCCUAGAAUUUGUCCACCAACAGUUAAGCGGCUGGAGAGCAGACUGACCAGGGGCACGCUGGUCACCGUCUUCUGCACUAUGGUGAGAUGCACUGUAUUUCUAUUUCGAUCAUGGUUAGGCAAACUAAGGCCCAGGGGCCGGAUCCAGCCUAAUCGCCUUCUAAAUUUAGCCCUCUGUCCAGGAAACAGUGUGUUUUUACAUGAGUAGAAUGUGUCCUUUUAUUUAAAAUGCAUCUCUGGGUUAUUUGUGGCGCCUGCCUGGUGUUUUUACGAGUAGAAUGC